GCCUCACGCCAGCGGCCGCCGCCAUCUUGGAUUCGGACAGGUAGAGUCAGGAUCUGUUGAAAAUGAAGCUGAUUGCAGCCAUUUUGGAUGUGGGCACUGACACUUCCAGGCGGGGGGCUGCCCGCCAUCUUGGUUUAGGGCAUUAAGAAGGAUUCGACCCUGUUGACGCUCAAAGUUGGAAGGGCCAUUUGUGAUUCGGACACGAUGUUUUCCAAGGAGCCUGAUGUCUGCGACCGAUUAGGGCAGGCGCCGACUGCCUCUGAGGCCAUGAUCAGCCAUCUUGGAUGCUGUCAAUAGAGCCCCUUGCUGGUUUCAUUGAUCGAUUCGGUGUGAGUAGGUCGGUUUUGUUCAGAUGCCUGAUGAGAAAGGAAGAUAGAUGCCUUCAAUGCUGAGUGUUUCCAUCCUCCUUCCCAUCCUCUGUUGAAAGGAGGAAAGGACCAGGUGAAACCACGCUGCAGCUGUCAUGCCAACACUUAAACUCUGUGUACUGUGAGCCACCAUCACGUCAGAGAAGAUGCACCAAGCACAACACCAAGAGUACAUGUGAGUCUUGCAUACCUGUCUGUGACAUUAUGGAGUAGCUACCCUGCUUUGUUGUCCCUCUGUUGUGGUACCUAUGGUGUGUUGGUUUGUCCACUGCGUAGAGGCUCUGGCAGUACCCCCCGUACAAG
rnacentral:lncRNA from 1 species